AUGAUGGACUACAGGACAGGGCUUCUGCUUUUAACUGUCUGCUGGGCAGGUGUCGAUGCUCAGACUCUGACAGAAUCUGAACCAGUGGUUAAAAGGCCUGGAGAAUCCCACAAACUGACCUGUACAGCCUCUGGAUUCACAUUCAGCAGCUCCUAUAUGGCCUGGAUCAGACAGGCUCCUGGAAAAGGACUGGAGUGGAUUGCUCGUAUCAGUAGCGGUGGUGGUGGCAGCACUUACUACUCUCAGUCAGUCCAAGGCCGGUUUACCAUCUCCAGAGACAACAGCAGACAGCAGGUGUAUCUGCAGAUGAACAGUCUGAAGACUGAAGAUUCUGCUGUUUAUUAUUGUGCUCGAGACUCACAGUGACUGGAGUUGGUUCAGCAGCUGUACAAAAACCUACUGUCCUCAUCUUUACCACAAUUAUCUCACAUGAUUAAUGUCCAUUGUUCAAGUAGCUCAAGAAAAUGAUAGAAUAAAGUUACACCAGACACUUUGGGAACCAAUGAUAGAAAUAUUAAUAGAAAAAUAUUUUUAAACAGAGAUACAAAUGUAGAAAUCAUGUUAUUAAAUAGGCAUCUUGCUUAACAGAGCUUCAUUAAAACGACUCCUCGACUGAGACAGUAGCUGAGCAAUAAACAGUUUGUGUAGUUAAAUGAUUUUGCUGAUUGUCUCACAUGAGAUUAACAAGUCUUUUUAUUUGUCUUAUUGUACAGGAGAUUGUAGUGCUGUUAAAAUGACAAAAUAAAUAUAGUCAGCAUAAAUAUUUUUUCUUAAAUUACAACAAUUAUUAUUUUGCAUAUCGUCACAUAAGUUUCAGUUCCUAGGC